rnacentral:rRNA from 1 species
AUUGAACGCUGGCGGCAGGCCUAACACAUGCAAGUCGAGCGAGAGGCGGACGGGUGAGUAAUAUCUGUGGGACUGCCUGAGGUGGGGGGGUAAAUACUGUGGAAGGUGGCUCAUACACCAUACCCUCAGAGGUGCCCAGAUGGGAUUAGCGAGUAGGUGGGGUAACGGCUCACCUAGGCGACGAUCCCUAGCUGGUCUGAGAGGAUGACCAGCCACACUGGAACUGAGACACGGUGCAGACUCCUACGGGAGGCAGCAGUGGGGAAUAUUGCACAAUGGGCGCAAGCCUGAUGCAGCCAUGCCGCGUGUGUGAAGAAGGCCUUCGGGUUGUAAAGCACUUUCAGCGGGGAGGCGUUACCCGCAGAAGAAGCACCGGCUAACUCCGUGCCAGCAGCCGCGGUAAUUC